rnacentral:rRNA from 1 species
ACAUGCAAGUCGAACGAGAGGGCCCAAGGAGAGAGAAGAAAUGGAAAGUGCUUGCACUGGAAAUGGAAAGCUUUCGAAUUGGAAUUCCCUCGAGUGGCAAACGGGUGAGUAACACGUGGGUUACCUACCUCUAUGAUGGGGAUAACAGUUGGAAACGAUUGCUAAUACCGAAUGUGCUCUACGGAGUAAAGAAGCCCUUAAAGCUUCGCAUAGAGAUGGGCCUGCGGUGCAUUAGCUAGUUGGUGGGGUAAUGGCCUACCAAGGCAGCGAUGCAUAGCCGAGCUGAGAGGUUGAUCGGCCACACUGGGACUGAGACACGGCCCAGACUCCUACGGGAGACAGCAGUUAGGAAUAUUCGUCAAUGGGGGAAACCCUGAACGAGCAAUGCCGCGUGUGCGAAGAAGGCCCUAUGGGUUGUAAAGCACUGUUGUUUGGAACGAAAACUUAUGAUAGGAAAUGAUCGUAAACUGACGGUACCAUUCAAGAAAGCCACGGCUAACUACGUG